AGAGAACGCUCUGGAAAAUUCUUAAGUGAAUGCCGAAGGUGCAAGAUUACAAAUGUUUCGCAAGUAACAUAGCGAUUCGCAGAGCAACAAGCAUUUCGCAUGAAACAUGUGCGCUGCGUAUUUGUAAUCGAAUCUCUCAGGCAAAAAGACGGAGAAUUCUGC
rfam:Coriobacteriales bacterium DNF00809 genomic scaffold Scaffold20, whole genome shotgun sequence.